UUAAUAGUCUUUAAAAACCUAUAAGGGAAUAGAAUUGAAAAUAUAUAUAUAUAUAGUAACAAUGAGCAAUACUUGCUCUUGUAAUUCAAGUUUACACACAGAUAAAACUGUACAAAGUCAAAACCAGGGGGAUUAGAGAGUGGCUCCUUUUUGCCCUCUUUCUCAUCUAAAAGACAUUUCCUGAUUUCAGUUUACUCGGCAAACGUCCACUAGGCAAGUAACAGUCAACUUGAUAUCAUUAGAUUCCACUUUGUCACCCCCAGAGAAGCCACCUUUUCUCCUGUAACUUCAGACUCAGACUUGAGAAACGACCUUCAGCACUUUGAGUUAAUAAUCGUGGGAUGCUGCCGGGAUAUAACUCAAUGGGGGUGGAAUCAGCUGUAAUCGUCCUUGUUAGCGACACACACCAGAGGCUUGUGAUUGAAAAAUGCUUUCAGGACCCUUGCUUUCCUGGCCAGCAAAAAAACUUACGAAAACGAUUCUCAUGUGGGGAAUACACAAGGAAAAAAUGGAUGUGUUUUCUUCAACACCUGUUUUCAUUAAGCAAGGGGAAGGAAAUGAAAGAACUUUUUAAUGCUUAUCAAGUAAGUGCCAGAAGCUUACAUAUGUUAUCCCGCUUUAUCUUUCAACUCAGAGAGGUGUAGAUACUGUGGUCCUUGUUUGGGACAUCCUCUCUAAGAUUUUAAUGAAAUAAGCUUUAUCUUUUAGAAUUUAACUUUUAAUGAAUUUUACAGGACUCAAGUAGAAAUGAAAAGUCACAAGAAAAAGAUAGAAUAGUGUUUGAAAGUGAAAGUGAAGUUGCUCAGUCGUGUCCGACUCUUUGCGACCCCAUGGACUGUAGCCUACCAGGUUCCACCAUCCAUGGGAUUUUGCAGGCAAGAAUACUGGAGUGGGUUGCCAUUUCCGUCUCCAGGAGAUCUUCCCUCCCCAGAGAUUGAACCCAGGUCUCCUGCAUUGUAGGCAGACGCUUUACCAUCUGAGCCACCAGAGAAGGCAAGAAUGGUGUUUAGCUCAGCAUAAUAUGCAAUCAUGUUCAUGUUAAUUGAUGUUCUUACUAAAGAACAGUGUCCUUGGAUAAAGGUACAGGUCAGCCACAGAAGUUCAGACAAAAGAGGGACCUAGAGAUAAACAAGAGCUGUCAGGGGAAAGAAGAAACUCGACCAGUGAACCUGGAGGAAUUUUGGUCCGUUGCCAGGUUCUCCGUUUUGUGGAAAUGUACACCUGAGGCUAUAUUAACUCGAUUCCAUCAAACACCCAACCAGCUUCUCUUUUUCUGAUUUCAUGCUCAACAAACAAACCGCUGGUUGUAAUUUGACUUCCACGUGGGUUUGCCUACAGGAAAAGAAAGUUGCUGACCAAGCAGCUGCAAGGACUCUGGUCCAAGUCUUAUUUAUCUUGGGAGAUUAAUAAAAUGGCGUUCUGAUUUUAUAUGUUAGUCUUGUGAUCGGUUACUAUAAAUAGACCCUCCUGGCAUAAUCAGGUUUCUGAAUCUACCAAGGAGAGACCCACAUCAUGGAUGGGAGAGUAUUUAUCAGGCAGUUCAUGCCAACUUGUAAGAUCUCACUGGAAUUAACCACUCUACCUGACACAUAUUACUUCAGCCAGGUGAUAAGAGUUGGCAUCAAUAUUGACAACAUAUUGAUACUAUGUAGGCUGUUGACAGUGUGAUGGAAUUGCACUUUAUCUCUGUGGUCUUCCUUCCAAAUAGCUAAAA
ensembl:lncRNA